AGCACUUGUACAUUUUUUGUGCAGCUGGUGGACAAUAGCAGGUCAUACAGUUGCAAAAAUAAAUCCUCCUUUGCAAAUCUGAACUCAUUGUUCAGUGUGAGUUUUGAUACAUAUAAGAAGGAAUACA
ensembl:snoRNA